GACGAACGCUGGCGGCGUGCUUAACACAUGCAAGUCGAACGGAAAGGCCCUGCUUUUGUGGGGUGCUCGAGUGGCGAACGGGUGAGUAACACGUGAGUAACCUGCCCUUGACUUUGGGAUAACUUCAGGAAACUGGGGCUAAUACCGGAUAGGAGCUCCUGCUGCAUGGUGGGGGUUGGAAAGUUUCGGCGGGUGGGGAUGGACUCGCGGCUUAUCAGCUUGUUGGUGGGGGAGUGGCUUACCAAGGCUUUGACGGGUAGCCGGCCUGAGAGGGUGACCGGGCACCAGGGGACUGAGAUACGGCCCAGACUCCUACGGGGGGCAGCAGUGGGGAAUAUUGCACAAUGGGCGGGAGCCUGAUGCAGCAACGCCGCGGGCGGGAUGACGGCCUUUGGGUUGUAAACCGCUUUCGCCUGUGACGAAGCGUGAGUGACGGUAAUGGGUAAAGAAGCACCGGCUAACUACGUG
rnacentral:rRNA from 1 species